AUACUUACCUGGCAGGGGAGACACCAUGUUCAUGAAGGUGGUUCUCCCAGGCAGGGGAGACACCAUGAUCAUGAAGGUGGUUCUCCCAGGGCCAGGACCAACAUAAGGAACCCAAGAUGGCUGCGAAAGGAUUGGAGAGAACCCUUCGUUUCCAUG